rnacentral:misc_RNA from 1 species
AAAUAUGACAACAACCCCGGGAGAGACAUGUUGAGUGAAAGUUCGUGAGUUUUACAUCGGUUUUCACUAGUCCUAGCACGUGUAAGAGAUUAUUCGAACAUUUCAAUCACUGUGUCUUUGAAAUUUUGCGUAAGAAGACACAUUUUGAUUCAUCUUUCUGAUUCUGUUCAAUUCCACGUGGUGCACUCUGCGAUCUAUAAACAAAACAUGUCGGGAAAUGGUACCGUAAAAGUUCAUCCGGACGACAAGGAGGUUGUGAUAGAAGAAGAUACCACAGUCAAACUGAAGAGAGAACUUCAGCUUCACAAUGGGGUAGCCAUUAUUGUGGGGGUUAUAGUUGGGAGCGGGAUCUUCAUAUCUCCAAAAGGCGUUUUGACGGAGUCAGGAAGUGUAGGACUUUCCCUCAUCGUGUGGGUGCUCUGUGGGGUCAUUUCUCUCGUGGGGGCCAUGUGCUAUGCCGAGCUGGGGACAAUGAUUCUAAAAUCGGGUGCGGACUAUGCUUACAUUAUGGAAGCGUUUGGUCAUUUCCCGGCUUUUCUCUACCUAUGGGUAGCUAUCAUGAUUAUCAUUCCCACUGGAAAUGCAAUUACUGCCCAGACUUUUGCGUAUUAUGUGUUAGAACCACUGUUCCCCGAUUGUGAAGCCCCCGGGGAGGCGGUCACUCUACUAGCAGCUGUUUGUAUCAGUAAGUACACGUAAAUAAACAUUUUUAGCCGGCAAUCGUUCGUGUAGCGGAGAUGAUGCAACAUUUUACACGCCGGUUUUGUGAUGAUGCAAUACAUAGCACUCGCUGACUGUUUGUGUUAAUAUGGUUAAUAUCAUUAGUAACCUGCAUAUUAAUGAAUAAAUAGAUAAAUUUGAUAAUUAG